CAGUCGAACGGAACUGUUUUGAAAGAUUUCUUCGGAAUGAAUUUGAUUUAGUUUAGUGGCGGACGGGUGAGUAACGCGUGAGUAACCUGCCUUCAAGAGGGGGAUAACAUUCUGAAAAGAAUGCUAAUACCGCAUGAUAUAUCGGAAUCACAUGAUUUUGAUAUCAAAGAUUUUAUCGCUUGAAGAUGGACUCGCGUCCGAUUAGUUAGUUGGUGAGGUAACGGCUCACCAAGACUGCGAUCGGUAGCCGGACUGAGAGGUUGAACGGCCACAUUGGGACUGAGACACGGCCCAGACUCCUACGGGAGGCAGCAGUGGGGGAUAUUGCGCAAUGGGGGCAACCCUGACGCAGCAACGCCGCGUGAAGGAUGAAGGUUUUCGGAUUGUAAACUUCUUUUAUUAAGGACGAAGAUUGACGGUACUUAAUGAAUAAGCUCCGGCUAACUACGUGCCAGCAGCCGCGGUAAUACGUAGGGAGCAAGCGUUGUCCGGAUUUACUGGGUGUAAAGGGUGCGUAGGCGGCUUUGCAAGUCAGAUGUGAAAUCUAUGGGCUCAACCCAUAAACUGCAUUUGAAACUGUAGAGCUUGAGUGAAGUAGAGGCAGGCGGAAUUCCCCGUGUAGCGGUGAAAUGCGUAGAGAUGGGGAGGAACACCAGUGGCGAAGGCGGCCUGCUGGGCUUUAACUGACGCUGAGGCACGAAAGCGUGGGUAGCAAACAGGAUUAGAUACCCUGGUAGUCCACGCUGUAAACGAUGAUUACUAGGUGUGGGGGGUCUG
rnacentral:rRNA from 1 species